UACAGAGGCCUCGAGCGUUAGGCGGAAUCACUGGGCUUAAAGCGUGUGUAGGCGGAUGCCUAAGUACCUUGUGAAAUCCCACGGCUCACCCGUGGAACGGCUGGGUAUACUGGGUGUCUUGAGCCACUUAGGGGCUGCCGGAACAAAUGGUGGAGCGGUGAAAUGCGCAGAUAUCAGGAGGAACACCGAUGGCGAAGGCAGGUCUCUGGGCCACUACUGACGCUGAGAAGCGAAAGCAUGGGGAGCGAACAGG
rnacentral:rRNA from 1 species